rnacentral:rRNA from 1 species
CCUACGGGAGGCUGCAGUGAGGCAUAUUGGUCAAUGGGCGUAAGCCUGAACCAGCCAAGUCGCGUGAGGGAUGAAGGUUCUAUGGAUCGUAAACCUCUUUUAUAAGGGAGUAAAGUGUGGGACGUGUCCUAUUUUGUAUGUACCUUAUGAAUAAGGAUCGGCUAACUCCGUGCAAGCAGCCGCGGUAAUACGGAGGCUCCGAGCGUUAUCCGGAUUUAUUGGGUUUAAAGGGUGCGUAGGCGGCCUUUUUAGUCAGCGGUGAAAGUCUGUGGCUCAACCAUAGAAUUGCAGGUGAAACUGGGGGGCUUGAGGAUGGUAGAGGCAGGCGGAAUGGGUGGUGUAGCGGUGAAAUGCUUAGAUAUCACGCAGAACCCCGAUUGCGAAGGCAGCCUGCCAAGCCAUGACUGACGCUGAUGCACGAAAGCGUGGGGAUCAAACAGGAUUAGAUACCCCUGUAGUC